rnacentral:lncRNA from 1 species
AUGCCUGUUUACUUGAGUAAUAAAGUUUCCUUGGGGGUCGACGAGACCCGCGUGUUUACUUACUCAGGAAGUAGCGCCGCUGAGUUCAGUGGCGCUUGCUCCCAAGGAACUUGUCCGUAUAACGACAGCUUUACUUUCAAGGAACGACCCAUAGCUUCACAUAUCUAUUCAGAAGUAAAUUCAAGGAUUUCAAUCCCGCUUACUCUCACAUGUAGGAAGAUGCAACUGAGGCUGAGUUCGGUGACUUUCCCUAAGUAAGUUUAAAGAAGGAGGUAAGUUUCUAACUCACAGCUUUUACUAUUGGCUAUAAUUAGCCAUAAAUUCGUUGCUUCCUUCCUACUCCUGGUGCAUCAAAUACUAAUUUCUAUGGUUCCUUGUCCCCCUGCCUCCCUAGAUCUUUAUACUAUUUUGAGCUACAGUGGAUGAAUUUCAGCUUUUUCUGGCAUAGGGAAAGCAUUUCUCUUCUGCAGGGGAAAACAUCUGUUGAAUUUCUUCCUGCAAUGCAGUUAUCAAAUG